GGUGACGUAGCACAACUGGUAGUGCGCCAGCCCGUCACGCUGGAAGGUGCGGGUUCAACUCCCGUCGUCAUCGCCA
rnacentral:tRNA from 1 species